AGCUCCAAGAUCACCACCCCAUUGGGAAGAAACUGAAUCAUGACCCCCAAAUGGUAGUCUUCCCCUGCAGAUACAGGGAUGUCACACACAUCCAAAUGGAAGGAAGGAGCAUAUUUGUGGCUGACCCCUAUGUUGUGCAACAUGGCGAAAGCCUACAGGAUGUGACCCACACAUGCAUUUGCCUAAAACUUUGACAGUCAAUCAACAGGGGGACAUGGAAAGAGGGGAUUGGAAGUGAAAUAGAGGGUUUUCCGGGACAGCCAUAGGGGGAGGACUGUGGCAUCUUCAUAUUGAUGGUAGGUGAGUUUAACUGUCUAAAUUUUUCCUCUGUGAUAUUUGUAUUCAUUUAUCCAUUUGUAGUAUGCUCUUUACUCUGUUCUGGAUGAGUUUAAACAUUGUAAGGUAAAGUUCACCGAAUCAUUCAAAUUGGGCUACAAAAUAUCCUUGUCGUUAUUCUUUAUUUACACUUGUUUUUAAUUUUUUUUAGACUGAUAUGCCAACUCUGAGGAAGUGGUAGUGUAUAUUGCUAGCAGACAAUUUUAAACUUGGGUGCACGGUAAGUCUUUGAAACUGUUGAUAUGACGUUCACAGGAAAGUAGGUGCACAGCACCUUAAUUCUUUGUUGGAAAUUGUGGAGUACUUAUUUUUGUGUUUUUUCAACUUAUGUGAGCCACAGGAAAAAGUUUGCCCAUUGGACAGAUAAAGCAAAAGCAUCACUCCAGAGUGAAGUGCCACCAGUCUAUCAGUUAAAGAAGUGAAAUUUGGAUGUAAUUGCAGAGGAAGCGGUGCAACCACAGCUCCUUCAAGUUAGUGGUGGCCCACUGCAAGAAGAUAUGGCAGGAAAAAGUACAUUUCCUACAUUUUUGGAAGGAAGUAGCAAGAAUUUUUUGUUCUUAAUUAGAUAAGAAUAGGGGUGGGAUUGAAUAAGUUUUCUUCUUCCCACU